GAAUAAAAAAAAAAAAUGCGUAGUUGCGAAAUUGAAAAAUCAAUGCGCGCAUUUUUUUAAAUUUAAUUAUUUUUAUUAAUUUAUUUAAUUAUUUAUAAAUUGGCUCAUAUCUGCUACAUUUACAUGAGUGUAAAUGUAACUGACAAGUGGGAAUUUUUUAAAAUUUUAAACAAAUAAAGUGUAAGUAGAAUAAAAAUUAAAAAAUGCGUAUUUAGAUGAAAAAAAAAUCAGUGCGCGCAUUUUUUUAAAUUUCAUUAUUUUAAUUCAUUUAUUUAUUUAUUUAAAAUUUAUAUCUGCUACAUUCACACUCAUUAAGUGAAAUAUUUUUAAUUGUUUAAUAAUAAUAUUUUGUGUAAAGUGAUAUUACAAGUAUAGUGUGCCCAGAAUGUGAAAGAAAAUACUAGAAAGAAGUAUACAUGUUAUUGAGUUACGUAUAAAAUGUGUGAUAAAAAAAAGCGACGUAAUUUGAACGUUUUAUGUCAUGUUAUCGGUCUCUGUUUAUCUUGCGAUUCUCGAACGGUCGAGAAAGACCGAGCCUAUUUGCAGGCGAAUGAAAGCACAAGUGAAAGAGAAAGAGAGACAGAUGAUAGAGAGAGAAGAAAAAAAAUCAAUUUUGGCAACCGUUCUAUAUAAUAAUAAUAAUAAGAUACAGACCGUUGCUAUGAAACGAGAAGUAAAAUUACUUAUAUUUAUUAUUUAAUUUAUUGUUUCAUGGUAAUAAACUUUAUUAAGGUAAACAAAAAAAUUUAGUUGCUAACAAGAUGUCAAUUAUUGGUACUUUAUUUUAUUUAUUUACUAAAUUUCUUUCAAGGUCAAGUUGUAGAUAUUUUUUUUCCAUACAUAAAAUUCUGAAAAAUUAAAUUUUUAAAUUAUUAUUCAAAAUAAAUAAAUUAAUUCAUUGAUUUGCCAAACAAAAAAAUUACGUGACGUUUAAAAACUGCGCAUUUAAAAAAUUUUUUCUAGCUCUAAUUAAAAUACAUUUGAGUUGAAGUUCAUUAAAUAAAUAUUUAUUAUUAUUAUCA